GACGAACGCUGGCGGCGUGCCUAAUACAUGCAAGUUGAGCGCUGAAGGUUGGUACUUGUACCAACUGGAUGAGCAGCGAACGGGUGAGUAACGCGUGGGGAAUCUGCCUUUGAGCGGGGGACAACAUUUGGAAACGAAUGCUAAUACCGCAUAAAAACUUUAAACACAAGUUUUAGGUUUGAAAGAUGCAAUUGCAUCACUCAAAGAUGAUCCCGCGUUGUAUUAGCUAGUUGGUGAGGUAAAGGCUCACCAAGGCGAUGAUACAUAGCCGACCUGAGAGGGUGAUCGGCCACAUUGGGACUGAGACACGGCCCAAACUCCUACGGGAGGCAGCAGUAGGGAAUCUUCGGCAAUGGACGAAAGUCUGACCGAGCAACGCCGCGUGAGUGAAGAAGGUUUUCGGAUCGUAAAACUCUGUUGGUAGAGAAGAACGUUGGUGAGGGUGGAAAGCUCAUCAAGUGACGGUAACUACCCAGAAAGGGACGGCUAACUACGUG
rnacentral:rRNA from 1 species